rnacentral:rRNA from 1 species
CAUUAUACCGUGAAACUGCGAAUGGCUCAUUAAAUCAGUUAUCGUUUAUUUGAUAGUACCUUACUACUUGGAUAACCGUGGUAAUUCUAGAGCUAAUACAUGCUAAAAACCCCAACUUCGGGAGGGGUGUAUUUAUUAGAUAAAAAACCAAUGCCCUUCGGGGCUCUUUGGUGAUUCAUAAUAACUUAACGGAUCGCAUGGCCUUGCGCCGGCGACGGUUCAUUCAAAUUUCUGCCCUAUCAACUUUCGAUGGUAAGGUAUUGGCUUACCAUGGUUUCAACGGGUAACGGGGAAUUAGGGUUCGAUUCCGGAGAGGGAGCCUGAGAAACGGCUACCACAUCCAAGGAAGGCAGCAGGCGCGCAAAUUACCCAAUCCCGACACGGGGAGGUAGUGACAAUAAAUACUGAUACAGGGCUCUUUUGGGCCUUGUAAUCGGAAUGAGUACAAUUUAAACCCCUUAACGAGGAACAAUUGGAGGGCAAGUCUGGUGCCAGCAGCCGCGGUAAUUCCAGCUCCAAUAGCGUAUAUUAAAGUUGUUGCAGUUAAAAAGCUCGUAGUUGAACCUUGGGCCUGGCUGGCCGGUCCGCCUCACCGCGUGUACUGGUCCGGCCGGGCCUUUCCUUCUGGAGAUCCUCAUGCCCUUCACUGGGUGUGUUGGGGAACCAGGACUUUUACUGUGAACAAAUUAGAGUGUUCAAAGCAGGCCUUUGCUCGAAUACAUUAGCAUGGAAUAAUAGAAUAGGACGUGCGGUCCUAUUUUGUUGGUUUCUAGGACCGCCGUAAUGAUUAAUAGGGAUAGUCGGGGGCAUCAGUAUUCAAUUGUCAGAGGUGAAAUUCUUGGAUUUAUUGAAGACUAACUACUGCGAAAGCAUUUGCCAAGGAUGUUUUCAUUAAUCAGUGAACGAAAGUUAGGGGAUCGAAGACGAUCAGAUACCGUCGUAGUCUUAACCGUAAACUAUGCCGACUAGGGAUCGGGCGAUGUUUCUAUCUUGACUCGCUCGGCACCUUACGAGAAAUCAAAGUUUUUGGGUC